CAGAAGGUAAUAGUCCUGUAUGGUAAACGAGAAGACUUCAGAUAUGGUCCAGAGUACCACGGGACACGGGAAACCCUGUGGGAAGCAGGAGGGACCACCCUCAAAGGCUAAAUACUACCUAGUGACCGAUAGCGUAUAGUACCGGGAGGGAAAGGAGAAAAGAAGAACGGGAGGGGAGUGAAAUAGAACCUGAAACCCUGCACUUACAAGCUGGGGAAGCACAUUUCUUGUGUGACAGCGUACUUUUUGUAGAACGGGCCAACGAGUUACGUUAAGUAGCAAGGUUAAGCACUUAAGGUGCGGAGCCGUAGCGAAAGAGAGUUUUAAAUGAGCGUUCAGUAACUGGACGUAGACACGAAACCGGGCGACCACGACAUGAGAAGGCUGAAGCGAGCGUAAAAGAUCGUGGAGGACCGAACAGACGAGCGUGGAAAAGCUCGGGGAUGACUUGUGGGGAGCGGUGAAAUUCCAAU
rnacentral:rRNA from 1 species